CAAAUAUAAUUUUUAAUUUACAUAUACAUACAAAUAAAUAAAUAAUUCGGGUCAGCCCGUUUUCUUGAUGUACUAUUUCGGUCAUCAGUACCGGCAUUAUCACCCUUCUUUCUUCUACAGCCCAGCAGCCCUGACUGAAAGCUAUCCCAGUUGAGAAUUCAGAUCCAACUCCCAUUAAAUUACCAUAAUACCACCGAUCCAUAAUUCAAAAAUUUUCUUCUUUUCCUUCAUUUCUUCAUAACCAAUCCAAUAUAUCAAUCAUUACUGAGGUUUAAUUAACUCUGUCAUAACUCGGAACCUUUUUUCUUCCGGGUCGACUCAGAUAAUUUCUCUUUCGAAGGAGGAACCGCCAUCUAUGUCGAUUCAUGGAAGAUGUUAUUGAGAAUGGAGUCGCAGCCUUCCCUAUCAGGAAGGUCCCCGACCAAGCCUCCAAGUAGAUCUAACUCCGAUGCUAAUGCCUCAUCUGCCAACACUAGCACCAGCCAGAGCCUUUCCUCCAUUCUUAACAAUCCCAAUGCUUCCGAAUCGGCCUCUUGGAUCGGCUGGUGGUAUUCUUCUUCCACCUCCGUUGCACCUCCCGAGUUCACUCCUCUCUCCUCUAAAGCUUCCUCCGAUGUUUCUCGAUCCGAUUUCCAGCCCUACGUUGCGUCGAUCUCUGAACCAUACCAUCGUUUCGAAGACAUACGGAAUCAUUCGAGCAAGGAGAGUUUGGAUUUGGAUGGUAUUGGCGGCCAAGGUGAGGCGCUUGUUGCUUGCUUGAGAGAAGUUCCGGCAUUGUAUUUCAAAGAGGAUUUUGCGUUGGAGGAAGGCGCCACGUUCCGCUCGGCUUGCCCGUUCUCUAACAUGUCGGAGAAUCUGAUGCUACAAGAGAAGCUUUCACAUUACUUGGACGUGGUCGAGCUUCAUUUGGUGAAGGAGAUCUCGCUGCGCUCCAAUUCAUUCUUCGAGGCUCAAGGCCAAUUGCAGGACUUGAAUGUGAAGAUCGUGGAAGGUUGUAGUCGGAUACGGGAGUUGAAAGAGACCAUUAGGCUUUUGGAUGUGGAUUUGGUUGAGUCCGCCUCGCAAAUUCACGAGUUCAAUGCCACCAGAAGCAAUCUCUUGGCUCUUCAGCAGAAGCUUAGGCUUAUAUUAUACGUCAACCAAGCUCUUUCCGCUCUUAAAUUGCUUGUUGCAUCUACAGAUUGUGCAGGAGCCCUGGACGUGACUGAUGAUUUGCAGCAAUUACUGGAAGGGGAUGAGCUUACUGGUUUACAUUGUUUUCGUCACCUUCGGGAUCAUGUAGGAGCAGCAAUAGAAUCUAUAAACAGCAUUCUUUCAGCAGAAUUUUUGCGUGCUUCAAUACAUGAUGCCGGGGAAAAAGACUUUGGUAUCUUAUCAGAGGCUAAAGCAAGGGCAUCAAUUUCUGCAAAUGGAAAAGAUGCUGAAGUGAAAUUGAAUGAGGAAGAAACCUCUAAUUUUCAAGAUCGUCUUCUCCCUGUCAUCAUCGGAUUGCUCAGAACUGCUCAGCUCCCUGCUGUUUUGAGGUUGUACCGUGACACACUUACUGCUGAUAUGAAAGCUGCAAUUAAGAAUGCAGUGGCAGAGCUGCUACCUGUUCUUGUUUCUCGUCCUCUGGAGUCAGAGCUGGCCCCUGGAGAGCGAACAGUUGAUGCGGAUGGCACUGGUGCAUCGCUUGCAAGCAAGUUGAGGAGCCUGUCAUCUGAAAGCUUUGUUCAACUCUUGAGUGUUAUUUUUAUGAUCGUACGGGCACACUUAGUGCGGGCUGCUGAAGUGAAAAAAGCCAUUGAGUGGAUUUUGAGCAACCUAGAUGGUCACUAUGCUGCGGAUUCAGUUGCUGCUGCAAUUGCUGUUGGUGCAGCAGCAGCAGAAACAGCAGAAGACAGUGAUGUCCAAGUUGGUCUGGCCUACUCAUCACAGAAAAGUAAUUCAAAGGUUCCUUUGCUUCAAGGAAAAGUAAAUGAUGCAGCAAGCCCUUCAAAUAUGUCUAAAAAUUUUAGAGCUGAUGUAUUGCGAGAAAAUACAGAAGCUGUUUUUGCAGCAUGUGAUGCUGCUCAUGGAAGAUGGGCAAAGUUACUUGGGGUUCGCGCUGUCCUCCAUCCUAAGUUGAGACUGCAAGAAUUUUUAAGCAUACACAGCAUGACUCAAGACUUCAUUACAGCCACAGAGAAGAUAGGUGGAAGAUUGGGGUAUAGCAUUCGGGGAACACUGCAAUCUCAGGCGAAAGCCUUUGUUGAUUUCCAGCACGAGUCUCGAAUGACAAAAAUCAAGGCAGUGCUUGACCAAGAGACGUGGGUGGAAGUAGAUGUUCCUGAUGAAUUUCAGGCCAUUGUCACUUCCCUAUCUUUUUCUGAAGCAUUGAUAUCUGAGGAUACAGAUGAUGCUCAAGGUAAUAAGGAAACGAGCAAUGCCAGCUCCCUUGUUAUUGUGUAUCUUCUUAACCAAUUAAAGCAUGCUAAUUAUAGUGAAUUAUCCACAGAGAAAUCUGCACCUGUGUCUGAGACAGUUGAAAAGAACAAAGUUGAUGUUAUGAAUUCUUCGACUGAAAACAAUCAUACCAACACAAAGGAGCGUGGAAAAUCUACAUCUCAAACCCUUUUGUACAAAGAUGUUGGGUAUCACAUGGUAAACUGUGGCUUAAUAUUGCUGAAGAUGUUGUCAGAGUAUGUUGACAUGAAUAAUUCUUUGUCAACACUUUCUUCAGAAAUUGUUCAUCGCAUUGUAGAAAUAUUAAAAUUCUUCAAUACAAGGACUUGUCAACUUGUUCUUGGUGCUGGUGCUAUGCAGGUGUCUGGUUUGAAGUCUAUCACUUCGAAACAUUUGGCCCUUGCAAGUCAAGUAAUCAGUUUUAUAUAUGCCAUUAUCCCUGAUAUCAGACAAAUUCUUUUUAUGAAAGUACCUGAUACUCGAAAGGCAAUGCUGCUAAUGGAGAUAGAUCGAGUGGCUCAGGAUUAUAAGGUUCACCGAGAUGAAAUACAUACAAAACUGGUUCAAAUAAUGAGAGAAAGGUUAUUGGUACAUCUUCGUGGCUUACCACAAAUAGUGGAGAGUUGGAAUAGACCUGAAGAUGCUGAUCCACAGCCCAGUCAAUUUGCUCGUUCACUUACUAAGGAAGUUGGAUUCUUGCAACGUGUUUUAUCUCGAACUUUGCAUGUUGUUGAUGUUCAGGCAAUUUUUAGGCAAGUAGUCAUAAUCUUCCACUCUCAAAUUUCGGACGCAUUCUUGCGCAUGGAGAUAAACACUCCACAAGCCAAGGACAGGCUACAUCGGGAUGUGAAACACAUUCUUGGAUGCAUUCGAUCGUUACCAACUGAUAAUUCGAGUGAAUCCACUACUCCAAACUGGGGUCAACUAGAUGAAUUCUUGGCGCAGAGAUUUGGAACUGAAGAUGGUUAAAGUGUUAGUAUGAAGUAAAUUGGUUAAUUGUUUUGAUAAGGCUAAUCAUACACAAGGCAAGGUGUUGGGGAUGUUACAGCCAGUUUUGCCCUUUGCAUUUGUCUUGUACGAUUAAAUUCAGGUGUCAAGGCUCGGGACACAUUUUCGCUUUAUGGAGUGUUUUCCAUUUGUUCUUCGGUAGAGUAGGUGUAUAAAAUCCUGUAUUUGAAUUCAAUAUUGUGGUUAGAAGUGUUUCUCUUUUGCAGCUGCCACAGCUUAAUUGGUCGACAUUUUGUAUUUUGACUUAGGGAGGUUGUUAGUCUUUUUGGCCCUUUGGUUGUAAUUUUGUUUGCAGUGGAAUACUUGAUUAUUUUCAAUUUAAAUUUUAGUGAUAAAAAUAAAUGCAUGGUAGUCCACACCAAAGUUGUAAAUAGGGUCCUGACGGGUUGACUUGUAUUUUCAAAUGCUCGUAAAAUUAUGAAUUGUGCUGUAUUGGUUCGUAAAAGGAUGUAAUGUGGGUUUGUUUAACCACUACAUUCCCAUCUUGCUGGAAUUAGUAUUGAACCGACCUGUUCAAAUUCGGGCUCUACUUUCUUGCCUUAUCUUUUAUGGACAAACCACCAAAUAGUAUGUGUUUCUUA